CAAUAAUACUAGCCUAUAACAUGUUCAACGAAGUACUAAGGAGCCGCUCGGCUACUUGGAAGGAAGAGGAAUAAUGGGCCGAGCCCAAGGUGACGGAGGUGUGUGCGCCCAUUUGCAAAAUAGAAACAACGUACACUGAAGGCGUUGAAUAGGAGUUGGCGUCCAAGAUGGGAUGUAAACCGGGUCCGUUUAAUCCCGUUUGAGCCCACUUAUCGGUUUAUCUGUUUAAGAAGAAAAUAUCAGAGAAAAUAAACUAUUGAGCUAACUAAAGCUAAUUAAACAGGCCUUGCAGUGCCGUUUAUCGCUCCAUUUACAUCCUUAGCCCGAGCUAGCCUUGUCCUUUUACGGCCUGGGCAUUGUGUUCGUGUUAGAAAGGGUGAACUUAGGGUGAAACCAUACUCACCCUCAGAUCAUGAUCGAACGGUUCCGCAACCUUCUUCCCACCACACAACUACACCGGAAACACAGCGAUGGCCGAUUGCAACUAACAUCAAGCUCCUGUCGUUGUCUCCGUCUCACCUCGUCAGAUCUCACCAAUCCUCCAUCUCCGUCUGGUCUUCCCUCGAUCUCCGCGAGGAGAUAGUCCAAAACCCUAACCCCCAGCCUCCCGGCUGAACCCGAGGAGGAGGAGGAAGAGGCGGAGAUGGCCUUCAUGGCGGCGCUGGAGGCCGAUCUGCGCGCUCUCUCCGCCGAGGCGCGCCGCCGCCACCCCGCCGUCAAGGACGCCGCCGAGCACGCAACACUCAAGGUCCGCCCCUCACCUCAGCCCCCGAGAUUUCAGUGACGCUGCUCAUUUCGCCUUCAUGUACUUGCUCGCUCGUUUCGGAUCCAACAUGCCAACUGGCCAGGGGGGUAGUGUCCAAACAUAUCGAACUGUGAUUGGAAGUUGUUGUCAGUGUCCUGUAACUCUCUCCUGUUUGGUUUCGUGAUAGCAAUGCAUACUGAGCUAGCGAUGUAGGAGCAGGACUCCCGGUUUGAUGAUUUUAGGUGACAUUUUGCAGCAGAACUAAGGUUUGGCCGAUCCCACUUAGGUGUCUUGUAGGAUAGAUAUUUCAGCUGCAGUUUGUGACUUUCAGUUAGUCCCAGUUAAUGGUUAGUGUUAGGCCCCGUUUGGAAUCUCUCCACUCCUCCACUCCGCGGAGUUGGUGGAGCUCGGUUUUGGCAACUCCGUUAAAGUGAGCUGAAGUCUGGUCCACUCCGGGAGCGGAGUUAAAAGGAGCGGAGAGAAACCGAACGCUCCCUUAGUGAGGGUUUAUCCACUUGAUGGGUGCAUAAUUUCAACUGUAGAGAAUGGUUGUGAGUUUUUCGAAGGUUUGGUUCUUGCAUUUGGAAACUCGCAGUUGAUUUUGUUUAGACCUUCGUUUUUCGUUGGAGGUCCCAACCUAAAUCUUUGGGCGCAUAGCUUAUGAGAGUAGUUCGAGUAAUUGCGCAAGAAGACUGGGCACAUACACUGAUGCACCCCGUAGAGCUGGAUGAAAUUUAUUGGUUCCUCCAGGUUGAAGGGUUCUGUACCUACUAAGCUGGGUUUCUGUGGUUGGAGGGAUAACUUUCAUUUACUGUGGUGGAGACUGGAGACAAACAAUUGGCUUCUUUUGUUUGCAUGUUUCUGGGCACUGGGCACCUAUAAGUGCUUUUACAGUACUUCAUAAUAGAACACACAAAAACAUGACUUGAUAUUAGCAUAACUUGAGCAAAAUGUACUGGUGCUGGUUUAUAGUUAAGAUGCAAUACUACAUAACAAGAGUUGUUAGUUUGUCACAAAAAAUAGCCAUGAACUAUGAACAUAUGCACAAUGAAACAUUACUGCUCAUAUUUAUUUGAUCAUGUGAGAUCACCCGUACCCUACCUCUUAGAAGACUUGGUGCAUGAAAAUAACAUUCACACAACAACAACAACAACAACAACAACAAAGCCUUUAGUCCCAAAUAAGUUGGAGUAGGCUAGAGCUGAAACCCAUAAGAUCUCAAAACUAACUCAUGGUUCUGGCACAUGGAUAGCUACCUUACAUGUUAUCUUGGCUGCCCAGAGGAGUGAACUUCAGUGAUGCUGGGGCACAAUGUUGCCCAUAACUAAUUCGACAGGUUAAACGACUAAUGUCUUUGUUAUCACUUAUCAGCAGUAUCCUCUGAAGUCUGAACCAAAUUAGCUUAGAUUUUAGUCAGCAUUUAGUUGUACUUGGCCUGCAUGGACAUGUUGUCCAUAUUUGUGCACGUUGCUGCCUUGCAUCAGUCUUUAUCUUGUGGAAACUACCUGCUACCUUCCUGUAUUAGUUUCUAUGUUUAAGACGCUUUUGAUGUUGUUUUGAUUUAUGAAGGAAGUAACUAGAUAAUUGUCAUAUACUUAUAUUUCACCACCAUUUAUUGUUGGGAUGCAUCAACAACAUGUCAUGUCCAGUUUCAGAAAAAUGAUUAAGCAAACCCAUCCAAAAUUAUGUGCUGGUACUAAUUCCUACCAUAAUCCAAGUAGUGUCAGAAUUUCUUCAUCUGUAAUAGUUAGAUGAUGAAUAUCACUUUUCUUAUUUCUUAUGUUACUGCUGCACAAAUGCCAGUACUUUCUAGCCUUUCUGUACAUUUAACAUUCAUUUCAGUUCUCAUGUGAUAUAAGUGGUAUGCCACUUGCUUAAUUCACAUUCAUUUUCAAUUCUUUUUGGCCUGCAGCUCCGUUCUCUAUCUAAUCCAAGGGAAAUAGCUCAAAAGGGGGAUAUAUUACGGAUCUUUCUGAUGGCAUGCAGUGUCAAAUCAGUGAAGCUGAGUGUGAUAGGACUAUCCUGUUUGCAAAAGCUUAUAUCACAUGAUGCUGUAGCAUCAUCUGCGUUGAAGGAGAUAUUAGCUACUUUGAGGGAUGUGAGUUCUCUUCACUUAUGUAUCCACUCGCCUCACUUUUUUGAAUUUAGCACAAUAAAUUUAUAUAUUUGCCUUAGAAUUUCUGUGGUUUCUGUUCAUGGGCUUAUGUUAAUUGUUAUUCUGGAUAAUUGAGUUUGAUAAUGUGUUUUUCUUUGGAAAGCUGAUUCUUCAUCAUAACUAUAUAUAUUUUAAUAGGAUCUUGUGCUUUAUUUGACCACUUGUAAAUAUUUGUGUGAUUUAAUUUGAUGGAUCAUCCUGUAGUAUGUUAACUCUCAAGAUCUUUAAACUAAUUACACUGAACUGUGAUGUUUGUCUGACUGCAGCACUCAGAGAUGCCAGAUGAGAGUCUUCAGCUGAAGACAUUGCAAACAAUGUUGAUUGUCUUUCAGUCACAUUUACGUCCUGAAAGUGAGGUAGCAGUUAUGAAUGGUUAUCAUCUAAAUUUUUUAAUGUCUGUAAUAGAUGAAAUGGUUUCUUAUCAUCUGUUGUAUGCUUAGCUGGCCUUAUAACACAUAGAAGCUUCCCUCUAUAAAAAGGUUGAAUCUACGACUCUAAAGUGAGCCAGUGAGCAGUCACCACUUGUUAGCAUUCUUGCCUUCCGUCUUUUGCAUUUGACUCAUUUGAAUUUAUUUAUUUUGUAAAAUAAGGUACUCUGCCUGUUCGUUUUGUUUCUUUGGAGUGCUGGUGCCUGGUGUUUGAACUUGGGUUACCAGAUGUUUAUGUUUCAAACAUAGUGCUUUUUUAUUCGUUGCAGCAAUCCAGGAAACUUUCUUGAGUCCAACAGCAGAGAGUAACUCUGAUUGCACCAUUAAUUUUUGUUUCUGAUGAGAGAGGGGAAUACUGCUGUUGAUUAUUUCUUGGAAUGCAUGUGAAACUUGACUAUUUUGGUAGUUCAUGCAAUUCUACAGGAUGAUGUACUAUUUAUUGAAUGCCUUUUGGGAAUCAUUACUAUUACUGUCCACAGGUUUAUCUUAUUAGCAUAUUGUUUCAUUUCUCAGGAGGACAUGUCUCAAGCCCUUGGCAUAUGUCUUCACCUACUUGAAAGCAGUCGAUCUUCUGACAGUGUCCGCAAGUAAGCCCAUUCAAGUUGUUGGGUCAUGGAUUCAGAAUUUCUUUGUGGCAAUCUCCUAAAUCAUACAUUUCUCAUUUAGCACGGCAGCAGCUACAUUUAGACAAGCAGUGGCAUUGGUCUUUGAUAAUGUUGUUCUUGCCGAAUCACUUCCGACUGGUAAAGCAUCCCCAGCAAGACUCGGCUCGAGUGCUAGCUCUGUUGCCAACAAUGUUACUCGUAGCUUCGGCCAGACGCUGUAAGGCUCAGUCUAUUUCUCUUUCUUUAAUAUUGUUCUCAUCCCGUAGCAAUACAGUUAAUAUCAUAACAAGUUUGUUAGUAAGAAACACACCUUUAUGCAUUAUCAUCUAUGGAAAAAGAAAUUCAUGUUGCAUCAAACCGCUCGUGUCUGGCAUAUUAUCCAUAGAUGGGACACACAUGAGAUGAAACACUAAUCACAGGCCAAGGCGUGGCAAAAAAAUCCCUAAAAGAUUUGCUCUAGUAUUCAAGUGUGAAAGGUAUCAAGAGUGGAUCAUAAAUAUUUAGACAGUUAAGCUAGAAACCAGGAUGCCGAGUAUUAUUGUGAAGUGUCUGGCUUCUAUGUGAUGAUCCCAUUCUUUGUUGUUUAAUCAUGAUUAUAGAAUAAUAUGAGCAUUCAAGCAAUACUAUUAUAUUUUUGAUAGAAGAUAUUCUUAUUAGCCUGUUAUGGUGUAUCACCUCUGUUCCAAAUUAUAAGACGUUUUGGAUAUUUCAGUAUCGACUACAUACAGACUGAAACGAGUGAAUGAACACAACAAAACACGUCUAUAUACAUCCGAUUCAGAAAAAGUUAAAACAUCUUAUAAUUCGGAACGGAUGGAGUAGUAGCUAAUUGACUGUUCAGUCAGUGCAGAUUAACUUCUAUCCUUCAUCAAUCCUCUCUUUUCUACUAUCUUGUAUAUUUGGGCAUCUGAAGCUCAUAUUUCUCUGUUAGUAUUUCUGUCCACAUUGGCAUCAUAUGCAUUUCGAAUCUUAUCAACUGCACCAUCAUUAUAUUUUGCUGUGUGAUGGAUACUUAUUGAUGAAUGCACAUCUGUGUUGCCCGUUCGACCAAGAGAGAUCUUGCUCAUUGCUCCUGUGCUUUUUUAGUACAUUUGUCAUGGUCAUGCCGUUAACAUGGAUGAUAGUUUAACCAAUCUAAAUUGCUUGUGUUUCUGUUCCAUCAACCUUUUCCUUCCAGAUGAUGUAGAAAAAAAACUUGAUAUUCAACAUACCCUGCUUCACAGAUCACUAGCAUUUAGCUAUGGAGAACUCACCAUGAGGGAAGAUCUUACUGACGUUGGAAAACUCGGUCUCCGUCUGCUCGAAGACCUGACUGCUCUUGCUGCAGGUGGAUCUGUAUGUGUGAACAAUUUCUGACUGUACCUUUUCCGUUCUUCGUUAAAUAUGAAUAAUUAACUGGCUCAUUUUGCUGCUACAUUUUAUUUAGUAUUCUAAACCUAAGUUUUCUUGAUAAAGUUACUACUGUCUCUUUCUUUAGGCUAGGUGGUUGCAUGCUCAGUCACUGCAUCGGACGUUUGCCCUUGACAUACUUGAGUAAGUUCUCUUUUCAUACUGAAAAUCUUGGGGUACUUCCAUAUUAGUCAGUUGUCACAGCUUUCAUGAUGCCCAAUAUUCUACACAUUUUGUGUUUUAACAAAGUUUAGUGUUGGAUGAAAGGUUGUUUACUUGAGCUGCUGCAUUCACAUGUCUUCUAAAAAUUGAAGUGCACGAGCAUCUCUCAUGAAGGAGGUGCUUCGCGAGAUACUUAGAAGAGGGUCGUUUGCGACAUAAGCAUCCAUUAAAAAGGCCAACCCUUUAGUGCAAGUAUACACGUGUUUAGGUGGUUACAUCUUCCUACAAACUCACAAGUGCCCAUGCAAGCAUUAGUGCUUAACGAAGCAUUUAAUUUGUGCCCGUGGAUUUGUACAUUUUUUCUUCAGUAUGGCAAAGAAAACUACCUGUAAGCGCCUUGUAUCAUUGAAGAUGUCGGCGGUAGUGGAAUAGUGGACUGUUGCAAUUCAAACCCUUAAUGCGUUUUUCCAGUUUUCACUUCUGAGGGGAGCAUGGAAGCACUACGUAUCACACUAUUAUCUCAAAGAUAAUCCAAUGUGAAAACAAGAUGUAUUGAUUCAAAUGCAAUAGUUCACAUUACUUGCUCAAAGAUGGUUCCGUUACGAACAAUAGAUACAGUCAGUUCUUUGUAAUCUGGAACAAUUUUUGUUUCAUUUUUAUACUUUCUUUCUAGAUAUGUUAAAUGGGCUAAAUAUGUCAGAUUUGGAUUAGGCCAGCACAUCGUUAAUUUACUAGUCAUGUUGACUUGAGUUUGCUCUUCAUUUGGUUUGGUCAGAGUUAUGAAAGCGUUCUCCAAAUUUCUGGAUUGUUAUUAACUUGUUUCAAUAUUUUUUCUGUUUCCUUUUUAAGUGCAUUUUUCUUCUGUUUCUGCAUUUGUUUUGUGAUUUGUUGCUGAUUAUCCUAUUUUAUUUGUUAAGUAACACAAAAAAUUGUUGUAUUAUUUUUCUCAGUUCCAUUAUAGUUUAGGCAGAUUAGUGAUGGCAAUCUUUUCAUCAGCAAGCUGCUUUUAACUCUUUUUUUUCCUCAUAGAAUAUAUGGAAGGGGAGCCUUGGCGCAGCGGUAAAGCUGUUGCCUUGUGACCAUGAGGUCACGGGUUCGAGUCCUGGAAACAGCCUCUUGCAGAAAUGUAGGGAAAGGCUGCGUACUACAGACCCAAAGUGGUCGGACCCUUCCCCGGACCCUGCGCAAGCGGGAGCUACGUGCACCGGGCUGCCCUUUAUAGAAUAUAUGGAAGGGGAACCUUGGCCCAGCGGUAAGGCUGUUGCCUUGUGACCAUGAGGUCACGGGUUCAAGUCCUGGAAACAGCCUCUUGCAGAAAUGCAAGGAAAGGCUGCGUACAAAAGACCCAAAGUGGUCGGACCCUUCUCCGGACCCUGCACAAGCGGGAGCUACGUGCACCGGGCUGCCCUUUUAGAAUAUGUUGAUAUUAUUUAGGAUUGGACUUGAAGAUAACUUAUCCUGAGUCCUGACUCUGUUGCUGAGUUUAUCUUGACGUGCUUUGUGCCAGGUUUGUGCUAUCGACAUAUGUUCCUGUAUUCCGGGCAUUAUUAUCUUACCAGCAGGUUCGUGUUUAUGUACAUCUUUUGUCCUCAGACAUUUUUGUUAACCAUUGAUCCAUAACAAAAGAGCCUCUUAAAACUUGCCAGGUAUUGCGCCAUCAAAUAUGCUCACUUCUUAUGACUUCACUCCGCACGAAUGUGGAGGUAAGUAAAUGAAAAUAAAGACUUUUUUUUAAAUGUAUAGCAUGCUAAAUGUCUAGUCGUUAUAAGGCCUCGCCACUGUUGCAAAAUUUAUAUGCAGAAGCACGAAUAUGACCUACCACUUUACUAACCAAGAAGUUUGAAGUGCCCUUCAAGUACUUUUAGGUGCAUCCAGUCCAGUAUCUAUGUUAAGUCCAGGAAGGAAAAUGUCAAAUGGUGAACCUCAUCUUUUGAUGUGCUAGUACCUAGUUCAGUUGCAAGGAAAUAAAAACAUAUAAAUGAAAAUGAAUUUUCAUGAGUUCUUUACUAUUUCCGUUUCCCGAUUUCAUGCAUGAUCCAGUUAUUAACUGAUUCUGUGUUGAUAUGUUUGCUGAUUUAUUUAGUUUCCCGACUUCAUGCAUGAUCCAGUUAUUAACUGAUUCUGUGUUGAUAUGUUUGCUGAUUUAUUUAUCUUCAGCUUGAAGGUGAAGCAGGGGAACCUGCUUUUCGCCGUUUAGUCCUACGUUUGGUUGCUCAUGUUAUCAGACUCUACAGCUCUUCACUUGUCACUGAAAGUGAGGUAUUGUUCUGUCCAAGCUCAUGUACACGCCAGUACUGCAACGGGCCUGUGAGCCACUAAAUAGUCUGAAUUAAACCAUCUAAAACGAUUAACUUAAGCUCCAACACAGAAACUUUCUGAUAACUUUAAUUGAUCAACCGGAGCCCAGAAAACCGCUGAUAAUAAUUAGGCUCUGUUUGGCAUUGCAGUGGAUUAUGGCAAUUGGCUCUCUCUUUUGGUAGAACCACUUUCAGAGGUUUGCAUUUUUUGUUAGCUACGUUUGUCUAAAAAUCAAACUGUGAAAGGAAGAUAUUACUAUGUCCCAGAUGACAGAGCAAUCCACUGGAAACGUGAGAAGAACCAUGGGAUAGCAGUAUUUGUCUAAUUCUAAUAGGAACGGCUGUUAGAUCUUUUACAAAUGGCUUUCCCAUAGCAGCUUUAAAUUAAGCACUGGCAUCGAAACUCUCUCUGACUUGAUAAGUGGUAUCACCUCCCGGUGCAGUUCUAUCAAUAAACCCCUUCUGCAAUAUGUAAGACUGCAAAUCUAUACUUAAUGUGAGUCCAACCGAUAGCUUUUGCUAACUAUUGAGCAGAUUAUAAUUAGAAACAAAAGAACUGCUGGACUAGCUAUCCAGGUUCAGUACACAUAGGCAUGACUGGUUUUAAAAUAGUAAAGACAAUCUUGACCAUUGGAUCUUAUCUGGAUUGGUGUGAUUGAGCAUCAAGAGUAACCAACAUCUUUCAACAACCCCAUGAAUCAGAAUUAUUCACUUUACCUUCUAUUGAUAUCAACAAUCAGCCCUAGUUUCUUCUAUCAGUGAUUUAACAGUUGAUGUGAGUUGUCAUUCUGCCAUUUUAAUGGUAGUUCGUUCCAUAUAUAUUUCCCAAUAGGUUCAACCAUAAGAUCGUGUUUGUUGAGCAAAAUAGGUUGUACUUCCAGUUCACUUAAAGGAUGAAAUAGUUAAUUAGACAGCUCUAUAUAAUAAUGACUUAACAAGUGCUCAAUGUGCUUUUACUUUAUUCUGGUUAUUUAUCCUACAUGAGCACUAAGAUGCUUCUGUUGACAGGUAUUUCUGAACAUGCUUGUGAAAGUUACCCGCCUGGAUUUACCUUUAUGGCAUCAGAUACUUGUUCUCGAAAUUUUGAGGGUAAGUUCCUUGGAUACAAUGGAAAUUGAUGUUUGUCGAUGAUCUGUUCUUACUUGUGUGUACCUUCUGAUUACCAGGGUUUUUGUGUAGAAGCUCGCACUCUGCGCUCCCUAUUUCAGACGUUUGACAUGUAUGUAUUGUAUCCCCAUAACUCCAUGCUUUCUUCUGAUGUGGUCUUUCCAUGCCUAUGGCUGACUUUAUUUUUGACUUGUCUAGAAGCUUCUACAUCAUGCUUGUGUCUGCAUGUCUUUCCCGAAAAUAAUUGUUGGCAAUAUUAUAAACUGGCUCAUAAUUCACAUUCACAUUGUAUUAUUAAUUGUCCGUUUCUAAGAGAAUUGGUUCCAGAGUUUAACUUGCGUAGGCAUGCAGGUAGCACAUAUCAUGAUGGAAGUUAUAUUCAGUUGAAAUUGUGUAACUUGCUUCAUUUGUCUGAGAGAAAGGUUUUUUAGACCAGUGUCUUGAGACAUGUUUGAUUCCUUUUCAUCCUUUUUGCAUCUAAUGAGGUGAACUACCAAAUAUCUAAUCAGGAUUCAGGAAGCUUUAUCUUCUGUGAAGUCUGUCAUAGUUCAUUCUUGUGCUAUGAUAGCCUUGCGAGUCUAGCUGGACUUGAAAAUAUAGUUGCGAUAACUCAUAUCCCAAAUUAGGGACAAUUGUGUGAUGUAUUAAUGCAUAGAUUCUUGAACUUUUACUUCAUUUUUCACACCCAUUUUCGGCUAAACACAUCUUUUAUGUGAAGUUAUGUUAAUUGGGUUAAAGGAUGAUAGAUAAGGUUGCAGUGCUGUCAAUAGUACUGUUGCUAUAGGACAAGUAGGUAGAUUCAAGAAAUCCUGCCGGAGAGACCAUGAUCCUAAAAUGUUUAGCAUCAUUGUUUAUUUAUGUUUAAUUGAUGGAAAUGGCAAGUCAAAUCUCAUUUUAAAAAGGUUCACUUCUUAGAUAUCAGUGAACCUUGUUUUCUUUUGGUGAUUGGAUGUGUAUAAACCUCCCAAGGGAAUUUAAGGAUUCUAACAUGCGACAGUAGAUAGUUAUUAACAUGCUACUGGUGUUGUGCAAAGACCUUAUUGGGGUUGCAACUAAGGUUUUUUACCCUUAUCUAGAUUAACUGACGAAGGCAACAACUGAAAGCCCCUCUGUUCUGUUUUAAAUUUGUUACUUAGGUCAGAAGCCUGCUUUGUACCUCCUUGUCAUACGAGUUACUACACUGAUGCUUUUCAUCUCUGGGCAUACAUUAUACAUUGGGUACAUAUAUACUUAUUCUGGAAAACCUCAGUUAAUAUUUUUAUUUUUUUGCUAUUAAUACAGAAACCCUACAAAUACUAAUGUUGUGGAGAACAUCGUUAAAGCACUUGCUUUGGUGGUAGCUACUAUUCAGGUGAUAUACCUUACCACAUAACAUUCUCAUUUUGGUUUGUUGGCAUUGCACUUCUAAUUAGUCUCAUCAUUUCAGUUCCUUGUAUGUUCUUGUACCACUUUCAUGACAUGACUUCCUUUUCUUUUGGAUAGUAGAUUCUUUAUUUAUUUUUGUGCAUGAUUUGUGUCUCAAGAUCAGAUGUAUUGACUUGGUAAUACCGUCUCCAGUAUAAGCUGCCUUUCUGUUUUUAUGCUGUAUUAGAUGAACUGACUUCUCACUCAUGCUGAUAGACAUCCAUGCCAUAUGCUCGGCUGGCAUAUUUGGGCAUUGAUGUGCAUUUAUGAUACAAAUGACUAGCCUUUUUAUUUAUAUAUUUAUACAUGAUCUAAAAGUAGUUGCACAAUGAUCUAAAAGUAGUUGCACAUCCCAAAUGGAGCUUUGUUGAAAACGGUAAAAAAAAAAGCGAAUACGCAAAGCUUGCGUAUCUUUCAUUGAUAGAAGACUAGAACAACUUACAAGGUCUUCGGCACUCAAACAAAAUGGAACGUCCGAAGAGAGAGAGAGGGGGGGGGGGGAUUUAAACUACCACAUGCAGACUACUCCCUAAUGAUGUUGGCCAAGCCAAAAGCACCCGCUUGCGCCCAUAGCCGAGCUUCAUCCUUGAUGAGCUGUAGGUGGUGGCUCAGGGAGGGGUGUGGACCGUCGAACACGCAUCCAUUCCGAUGCUUCCAAAGGUACCAUGCCGUCAGAGGGAAGAGGGAAGAGAGCCCUUUUCGGCAGGAGGAAGGGGACGUGGCGGACCACCACUCCAAGAAGAGGUCGUUGGGUUGUGGUGGAGCAAUGGUGGAAUGGCACCAAGUGAGUAACUCAUAACUCAUACCAAAGUUGGCGAGAGAAGGAGCAGCCAACCAGGAGGUGUUGCAUGCUCUCUGGCUCCUGAGGCAAUAAUCGGUGUGAGGCAAGCCGUGGUGCGCGAGCCUUUCCGCGGUCCAGCACCGUUCUUGGGCGGCCAACCACAUGAAAAUUUUGGUGUUCAGAGGCGCCCAAGUUUUCCAAGUUAGAUGCCGGUGCGGGUCCGGCAGCCAGCCAAUGAACAUGGCAGAGUAGCAAGAAGCGGCAGUGUAAACUCGGGCUUGGUCCAACGCCAGACUAGCUUGUCUGGGAUAUCUGAGAGGUGGGUGUGGCGGAGCAAGCGCCAAAGCUCGACAUACUGGACCAUGGCGGCAGGGCCAAGGGCACCCUGGGUAUCCUGUACCCAUGACCGAAGCUGGAAACCUUCCUGAGUAGUGCGGGAUUUGCGGCGUCGUUGAGGGACCAUCAUGAAGAUAAGCGGCGCAAGCUCGACGAUGCAGCGGCCGGGGACCCAGUGAUCCGUCCAAAAGAGACGAGAACGGCCAUCACCAAGCUGCCAGGAGGUAGAAGCGUCACAAUAGCGUGAACCUCCUUGUCAUGAGGUAGAGGAAGGUGACUCCAGGGACGAUGCAGAUCGGUACGUUGUAGCCAAACCUACCAGGAUCGCAGAGCCAGACUGGCAUGGUGAAGAUCCUGAACUCCAAGGCUGCCGAGGUGCAAGGGCUGGCAAACGCGAGUCCGGUUGACCUUGCAUUGUCCACCGUGGGCAUCCUUGCGUCCUGCCCAAUGGAAGCCUCAGAUCACCCGGUUCACCCUCUUGAGGAUGGAUUUGUUGAUUGCGAUGGCGACGAGGAAGUGGUUGGGGAUAGCACAAAGAACGUGCCAAGAACGUGCCUCACCAGGGGCAACCGAUCACAGAGGGAUAGCAUGACAGCACGCCAUGUGGGGAUCUUGCCUUUGAUCUUCUCGGCCAGUGAAAGAAGAGCGGCCGUAGGCACCUUGCCAAGCGAAACGGGCAAGCCGAGGUAUUGCACCGGGAAGGAGGAUAUUGGGCAAGCAAGAUCGCUCCUGAUCGUGUCGACGUGCUCUUCAGUACAACCAAUCGGGGCGGCGGAGCAUAAUGACCGCCUUCUUUGCUCAUCUACGUGGAGCGCCGAGUACCCGCACUGCCUCUUGCGGUGUCUCUCCUCCGCGGCUUUCGACCAUUGCCCUCUGCUUCUGUAUUGUGCCGCUCCUACGCCUGGAGAUAGACAGUUUCACUUUGAGAGGUUUUGGCCCAAGCUUGAGGGCUUCCACCUCGUGGUCUCCGAGGCUUGGAACUUCGUGGAGCACGACUCCGACCUAUUCCGACGUAUUGUGGCGCGCCUUAAGGCCAUAGCUCAAAGCAUGCAACAAUGAAGCGCCAAGACAAUUGGCAACAUCUCGCUUGAGCUCUUGGUCGCGCGGGAGCUCAUCGCUCGACUCGCCGUCGAGCAAGACUUUCGGCUUCUGUCUACCUCUGAGACGUGGUUACGACGGCGACUGAAGGCUGCUUACCUCAGUCUCGUGUCCUUGGAUCGCUCCAUCGCCAGACAAUGCUCGCAAUUUGCAUGGCUCAAACGCGGUGAAGCGAGCUCUGCAUUUUUGCGCGUCCGUGCCGCACAUCGCCGUUAGAAGAACCGUAUCUUCUUGCUCAAGACCGCGGAUUGCACCGCAUCCGAGCCGGCUGCCCUUGCCGACACGGCCUUCGACCACUUCUCGGCCAUCAUUGGAUCUUCUGACGAACGUGCUUUCUCGCUCGCCCUAGAAGAGGUUCACCCAUGGCACUUUGAUCUGGCGGCUCUAGACCAUUCUCUAAGGAUGAGAUUUGGCAUGCGAUCAAAUCCAUGCCCACGGGCAAGGCGCUGGGACCGGAUGGGUUCUCCGCGGAGUUCCUUCGUGCAUGUUGGAAUAUUAUCAAGAAGGACAUCCUUGACGCCUUUGGAAAGUUCUAUUCUCUCAAUGCUCGUGGCUUCCAGAAACUCAAUCCUUGCUGCCCAAGCGAGCUGAUGCUGAGUCCCUGUUCGACUAUCGUUCGAUCAGCCUUAUUCAUCUCAUCGCCAAGCUCUUUGCUAAAGCCCUCUCCCUUCGGCUUGCCCCUUGUCUUGGAGGCAUGGUGUCCGUGAACCGGAGUGCGUUCAUUGCCGGGCGCAGAAUCCACGACAACUUAUUGCUCGUGCAACAAACCGUGCGCCUCAUCCACAACCUGAAGGUCCCUCGCAUGAUGCUCAAGCUCGAUGUUGCCAGGGCAUUCGACUCGGUCUCGUGGCCAUUCCUUCUCCAGAUCCUCAGCCACCUUGGCUUUGGUCCGCGCUGGUGUGAGUGGAUCUCCACCCUCCUCGCUACGGCUUCACUCGAGUGCUCGUGAAUGGCGUGCCAGGGCACCCUAUUUCCCAUGACAGGGCCCUUCGGCAAGGCGAUCCGCUUUCUCCGAUGUUGUUCACUCUCAUCAUCGACGUCCUAAAUUCCUUGAUUCUUCGUGCGGUCGAGAGAGGAUUGCUCCGGUGUCUCACUCCCAGGCACACAGCUUCGAGUGUUUCCCUCUAUGCCGAAAGCGGUAAUUUUGAUAGUACCCUGGUUUUUGUUUCUCUGAGCAAGUUAGUGAGGCGCGUCCUGUCACAGUAUCUCAUGAGUUAUCCUCAGCCUGGCCCUAGAUAUCGUGCUGCCGUGUAUUUGAGUCACCUAAGUUAGGUGAGACAUCAUAAUACUUCCUCCUGUUCAGCCUGUAGGUCUAACCACACAAUGCACACAGGCCAAUAGAACACAAGGCUAAUCGAACACUUAACAGGUAUGAGCCUAUGUUGCCCCUAUUAGACAAGGUGAUUCCACUGCCCAACAUUCUUAUGUCUUAUUUCAACAAAAGGUCAUUCUCUACCAGCAUUAAAAUCAUGGGCUAACAUGGAAACAACAUAGUAACCGGCAGUGCAGCCUUGAUGAGUUGAUUCCAGUUGAAUGUUAUUUUUGUGAAAGACCAUUCCUAAGAAAUUUCUUAUAUUAAAAAACGGAGGAGUGGAGAUUCACCUGGCCUGUAUGGCUGGGCGCAAUGCCAAACCACCCGAGCUACACUUUCCUUAUCUUCUGUCAUCCAUAAGUGCAUUUUCCUAAGUUCUCUUGGUAUGUUCAUUCUUGUUUCCUUAUUCUUGUUUCAUACUCAAGUUAGCAGCAUACCCCUGCUUUGACUUCCGCAGCUCUCCAUUUAGCCACUGUUCAGGAUAUCGGUAGGUACCAUAUCGGUCGGGGGCUGAUAAGGGAUUAAUCGGCGAAUCGGCCAUUUAACUGAAUAUAUCGGUAACCCAUUUAUCGGUAGGUUAACUAGGGCCAUAUUUAUAUAUUCAAGGCUACAUAGCAACAUGCAUUGUACUGAAUGUCUAAAUAUGCAAUCCUAGGCUACAUAGCAACAAGGAAGAGUGUUACAUUGAUGUUCUGAUGAUGUCUAGAUAUACAUAGAAGAGCAGCAACAACAACAACACAUCAGCAGUAAUUGUACAUCACUAUCUAACAUCAAAGGAGAGCAGCACAGCAACAGUACUAGUACAUUCUUGGCAUAGGAGAGUAGUUUUGGGCCAAAAAUGCUGCCCAGUUAAUUGGCCCAGACGAUAAUUCGGCCUGACAACUGAUAAAUCGGCUUGUCAGACCGAUUAACCGGGCUUCCCAGUUAAUGGGCCGGAUAGGCCUUUCUCAUAUCGGAGGGGGGCUGAAUAGCAGUUAACUACAGUUAAUCGGCCGAUAUUUGUAACAAUGCUUUUAGCUAACUUCCUAUCUUAGUAUCCUGCUUUCAUCAAUAUAGAGAAAUAGAAAUCAUUGCUUGCUUAAUUCUCUGUUUGCGCGCAGGCGUAAAUUUGGUCUGUGUUGUUUACAUAACAUAUUAUCAAAUCUCGCGGGUAAAGUCUUACAAGAAACAGUGGGUUUGACAUGACUGAUGCCUGUCCAUCAUCAUUUUGUUUCUAGUGCAAUGCUACAUUCCUAUACAUAUAUUGAGCACACAUUCUAUUAUAGGCUUCAGAUUCAAGUGAAGAGACUCUUGCAGCUGUUGCUGGAAUGUUCAGUAGUAAAGCUAAAGGUACCUUCUACAAUGUUCAAAUUCUGUUGAUAGUUUACUUCCUCUGUUGCCAAAAAUACGAAUAAAUAAAACUGAUAUGAUUUACAGGGAUUGAGUGGAGCAUGGAUACCGAUGCAUCAAAUGCUGCUGUUUUGGUUGCUAGCGAAGCACAUACCAUCACUCUUGCCCUUGAAGGCCUCUUAGGUGUAGUUUUCACCAUUGCUACUUUGACAGACGAGGCUCUAGAUGCUGGUGAGGUAAGACCAUAAGAAAGAAAGAAUUAUUUAGAAGAAUUUGGGAAGGUAAAUUUAAUAAAUGUUUUUUUGCCUUUAAGCUUGAAUCACCAAGAUGUGAAGUGGAUCGUCUGGUAUGUAGUGGACAAUCAGCUCUUCUUUGUGUCGCCAUGGUCAAUUCAACAUGGUUAACCAUCCUGGACUCCCUUUCACUUAUUUUAAUGAGGUGAGGUCCAUAUUCAAACUUACAUUUUUCUUUUACUUGAGGUUGUUUUCUCGUUUUCCUAUGCUUUGCUCAUGGGAAUCAAAUUAAUAGGUCACAGGGAGAAGCUAUAAUAUUAGAAAUACUGAAAGGAUACCAGGCAUUUACUCAGGUGACCAUAAUAGUCUGUUUGUUUUACCUAUUGCUUUGGAGAAAAACCCUGUUUUAGUGCUCUUAUAGCAUGACACCCACUUGCUAUGGCUUUUAAAUGGGAUGCUGAUGUUUGUUGUUUGUAUUUUAUCCUUUCUAGCCCCACUGUCUGUUGUAGUCCUUUCUACAGAAUUAUACCAAUUACCUUUUCUUCACCAUGAUAAUAUGGCACACGAACUCUUGCAGGCCUGUGGAGUGCUCCGUGCUAUAGAGCCAUUAAACUCUUUUCUAGCAUCGCUUUGCAAGUUUACAAUCAAUAACCCAAAUGAAGGAGAGAAGAGAAGGUAUGCCACUGGCAUCUUGUUUGUUAGAAUAAUACCGCACUUCUCUACGGGGAGCUUGCAUUUUGAAUACAUGAUGUCUUUUUCAGUAUAACGGGCUUAGUUACUAUAUAGGCAUGUCUAAGUGAUUGUGGUUUGUGGUCAUAAUACUUGUUCACCUGAUGGGUUCCAACCAUGUCACCUGCUGAUCAUUAACUUCAGGGUCUAUAUAAAGUAUAUAAAAGGAGUUUCCUUUCUUUGGGUUUGCCCCUAAACCCAAUGUUGCUUGUUCUAUUUUGACUUGCUCCCUUGCCAUGAGCGAAUGGGAAUGGAUCAGAGGCUGGUGGGAUUGACAUGAUACGGUAGGAUUCACUAUACAGCUGCUGAUGAGCUCCAGGCCAAUAAUCUGAAGCACAUGGAAUUUUAUCCUAGGAAGGAAAAACAAUUCCAAAUCUGUUUUGUCUAUGAAUCUCAUGGAGUUAGAUCCUGCCUUUGGAUGAAUGUUGCAAUGUACAUAUUGGUGAUUGCUGAUUAUGUUAAUGUGUCAAUUGAAAUCUAAACUUUGCCAUUUAAGUGUUGGGCCAGCACAUUUAUUAGCAUUUUAAUAUUUAUGUGAUAAAUUUGUUUACACUAGUGCUUGAGCUGUCUAUAAAACAAAGCCAUAAAGUUUUGCAUUAACCUUGUGCGCUUCUUCUCUUCUUAUACCUGUUAGUAGUAUCUUGCUCUCUCCUGGAUCGAAGAAGCCAGAAACUUCAAUGGAUCAGCGUGAUAGUAUUAUUUUGACACCGAAAAAUGUGCAGGUAACGGGCGAGAUUUUCAGUUAUGUUGUUUCCAUUGCCUGCUCAAUUUGUAUUACAUAUCUAUAGUUGGUAUUUUUUAAUCCAGGCAUUGCGGACACUUUUUAAUGUGGCACAUCGAUUACACAAUAUCCUGGGCCCCUCCUGGGUUUUGGUAAGUAGAGAAUAAGAUUAACUAGCUUUAAUUACUGUGAUAUUAUAUAUCUAAUUCUUUAGAACUUUUAAGGUCCUGGAGACUCUUGCAGCACUUGAUAGAACUAUUCAUUCUCCGCAUGCUUCAACCCAGGUUGCACAGUGUGAAGUUUCUUAAAUUCUUGUACUAUCAACGUUCUCAUAGGUCUUAACUUUUCUGAAGUAGCGCAAUUUUUUUUUCUAACAGGAAGUAUCGGCUUCUGUUUCAAGACUCUCAAGGGAUACAUCUGGACAGUACAGUGACUUCCAUAUUCUCUCUUCUUUAAAUUCUCAGGUCAGGAGGCAAACAUGAUACUAUAGUUAUUUUUUUCUUUUGGGUCAUAAUGUUUCUUUUUUGCUGUUUUUCAUCUCUUAACUAUAUUUUGCAUUCGUUGAAUGCCAUUUUGUUUCUUUUUGGAUGUAGUUGUUUGAAAGUUCAGCCUUGAUGAAUGUAGCUGCAGUUAAGUCACUUUUGUCUGCAUUGCAUCAAUUGUCAAGUCAGCACAUAUCAGGAAAUUCUCAAUUAUCAGGCCAGCAGAUUGGGAGCAUUGCAUUUUCAGUGGAGCGCAUGACAUCGAUACUUGUCAAUAAUCUGCAUCGUGGGUGCUUUCCUUCUUGAAGCAUGGAUAUGUUCUUUUCAGACAAACUGCCUAUUUAAAUCAGUGAUGAUCUUAAUGUUUUGUGCUAGAAGUACUCAAAUAGAUAUACUCCCUCCAUUCCAAAAUAUAAGGUGUAUUAGUUUUUUCAAAAGUCAAAUAUGUGUAUGUUUGACCAAGUUUUUAGGAAAAUAUAUCAACAUCUACAUUACCAAAUUUGUAUCAUUAAAUCCAUCACUAAAAGUAUUUUCAUAUUUUAUUUAUUUUGUAUUGUAUAUGUUGAUAUUUUAUUCUAUAAUCUUGGUCAAACACACACAAGUUUGACUACACAAAAAUCGAUACACCUUAUAUUCUGGAACAGAAGGAGUAUUUGGUAAAACUAAAUAAUAAUUUGUGAUGGAUCAAGUAUAGACACAGGAAGAUUCAUUUGCAUAAUAAAACAGCAAUGUUUUCUAUUUUCUGUUCUAAUUUCACACGAUGAACAUAAUUUGCAACUGGUGUCAUUUUUGUAGUACUCCCUUCGUCCCAAAAUUCUUGUCUUAGAUUCGUCUAGAUAUGGAUGUAUCUAAUACUAAAACGUGACUUGAUACAUCCGUAUUUAGACAAAUCUAAGACAAGAAUUUUGGGACGGAGGGAGUAUGUGUGAACACUCGUCUUGCAGGUCCGUAGUAGGCUAUUGGGUAUUAAAUUUAUAUCAUCACAUUAAAUUAUUAUCCUUGUUUUGUGAGCGAGCAUGUUCUGACAUGAAAUAUGGCAUAACAAUUUACCAGUGCGUGAAAUGAUUAUGUGAAACAAUGAGCUUUGAAUUAUAGAUGUGAGAGCUUUGUAAGGGCUUAACAACAAUGCACUGAACUUAAUCUUAAACUUUAACUCGAUAGUUACAACUGAAUGUGCAGUAUAGUUAGGAUAUAAAGGUUAUUGAUUCCAUAGUACUGUGUCUUCAUUGUUUCUUACAUUUGCUUGUUUCAUCAUGUUACAGGAGUUGAAUCAAUAUGGGAUCAAAUUGCUGCGCACCAUCUUGAGGUAGCAGUGCAUAUUUUUGUAUUGACUGUUAGCUUUAUUAUUGUCAUUUGUAAUGCCAUGAUGAUCUUGAUGAUGGUAACAAAUUGCAGCUUGCCAAUUGCCCCAACCCACAAUUACGUAAUAUGGCGCUUGAUUCAUUAGAUCAUUCAAUUUGCUCUGUAGUGGGUUCUGAAAAGUUUCAGGGAAUCAGUUCAGCACCUCAUCCUUUGAAAGAGUACCAAGUAAGAGCGCAAAAACUUACCUUAUUCAUCUUCUGUGAUUUUUUCUGACAAUUUGAAUUCGGUGCUUGCUAGUUGGUUGAAGAAAGUGAAACACGAUCAUUUGAGUAUGCAGUUUUAUCUCCAUUGGUGAUCCUUUAUUCGUCUAACAAGAAUAUUGAUGUUCAAAUGGGUGCACUGAAAAUUCUUUUGCAUGUUCUUGAGGUACUUACUUUGUUCUGUAUGUCUUCCAUUUGGUACAUCAUACAAUAUACUUCUUACUCGUACUGUUUCAGAGACAUGGAGAAAAGCUGUCCUAUAGCUGGCCCAGCAUUCUUCAUAUGUUGAGGUGUUACUGCAGUUCAUGCUUGAUUUGUUUUGUAUUUUGUAUUUGUUACCUGUAGUUCCUUACGUCCAUUUUUUCUAGGGCUGUUGCCGAUGCAUCUGAAAAAGAUGUCAUCUCCUUAGGUUUCCAGGUAAAUUCCUAACCAGUCUUUAUGUUUGGCUUGACAUGGUAGUUUAAUCGAAAGUUUGUAGCUCACUUCGGAGCCUGUACUAUUGACCUUUAACACCAGGUUAUGGAUAUGGAAUGGGACCGUAAUGUUCACUUCUAAAAUGGAGAACGAGUCAACAAAAAAAAAAAAGUUUUUUAGUUAUGCCAAUAAUCAGUUUGGUAGUCUCAACAGUCACUUUUUUUACAGAGUGUACGUGUGAUCAUGAAUGAAGGACUGGCGACAAUACCUGUACAAUGUCUUGAUGAGUAAGUUUUGAAUUCGCUGUGCUACCAGAAACUACAAGAUCUCCAUUAUUAUGUAUAAGAAAAAUCUCCUAAGGGCCUGUUUGGAUGGGUGCCCACGGCUGCCCUGCCAAUUUUUUGGCGUUGACCAAUGGGGUGGGCACGCGUUUGGAUCACAGCCAAAAUUUUGGAUCCUAACCAACUUUUUGGUCACCUGCGCGAUCUGCACCUGAUUCCACGCCCGCGUGGUGGUGAAAUCCUGGUGGCAAAUUUGCUCGCCAAAAAAUUGGCACGCCAUCAUUUUGGUAGGGCUCCUAUGGGCACCAACCAAACAGGCCCUAAGUCAUUCACAGAAGUUACAAACAAUAAAUGCACUAAGUCAAUAAUCCUUGUUUUUUACCAGGAGAUUUAUUACAUACAAAAUUUAUGAUGCCUGAGCUGUAAAGUUAAUGAUGCUCAUAAAGUUGGGCAUGGACAUGCAAAGUUCAUGAGUUGUUUAUAAUAUCUGCUUCAGUGUUUUCUGAUUCUUUUGUGCCAACAAAUGCAGGUGCAUUUUGGUUACUGGGGCGUAUGGUGCCCAGAAAACUGACAUAAACAUAAGUUUGACAGCAGCUGGUCUUUUGUGGACUGCGACCGAUUUUAUUGUGAAGGGGUUAAGUGGCAGGUCUGUUCAGAAAGCUAAUCACUUGAAUGAAGGUACAUGGGCACGCACUUCAGAUAACAUUGCCAUUGCUUUUGAUUUUCUAUACUUCAUACAUGCUCUCUUUUGGAUUGCAGAGGUUCAGUUGGGUGUAUCAACGGAAGAGGGAGAUAUACCAACCAGUGAGGAAGGCGUCAAGCGAAAUCCCUUGCAACAACUGGUUGAUUACAAUAAGCUGUUCUUUUCAGUUUUUUCCGUCCUUCAAAAAUUGGGUGCAGAUGACCGUCCGGAGGUAUGUCUUUUCAACAUGCCAUUCGUUCUGUGUAUGGCCAUUCAUGAUUUGCUUAACAUCUUCUGAGUAGCUUAUUGGUGAUUCCGUGGCACAAUUGAUAAUUCUUUGACAUGUACAGCCCAGCAUAAUUUAUACUUUUUUUAUUCCAAGGUUCGGAAUUCAGCAGUUCGGACUCUGUUUCAAACUCUCUGCACCCAUGGUCAAAAACUUUCUCUAAGUAUGUGGGAGGAUUGCCUGUGGAUAUAUGUUUUCCCAAUGCUAGAACAUGUUUCCCACUUGGUAAGUAAUGUAGCAAUUGGUUAGCAUAUUUUGAUCUUUCCCUUGAAUCUUCUUCACUUAUAAUUAGCCCCUAAUCUUUAUAUUAUUUUUCAGGCAUCUACCUCGUCUAAAGAUGAAUGGCAUGGGAAGGAAUUAGGAACUCGUGCAGGGAAAGCUGUUCAUAUGCUUAUCCAUCACAGGUUUUCAGUCUAUGAAAGCACUGUAAUCAGAUUAUAUUUGUUCGAUAUGAUUUUUUUUUGUUUAAAGUAAAAAAGCCACCUCUGUUAUUUGGUUAACUCCAUUAUCUUCGGGUCGCCCCACAAAUUGGAAGUUACGUUGAUCAUUAAACCUACUUCCAUCUUAAUCCUGUAGGCUAACUUGUUUUGAUUUUAGCGCAUGUGCACGUCCGCUCAUUGUAGGAAAAUAUUGACGUUUCGACAACCCAAAAAGACAAAAAAAAAACACUUCGUGCACACACGUUCAUGUACUCUGAUUAACUACGCCCACCUUGUUUAUCUUAAGAACUGAACCUGGAUGGAUGUGAAUUAAUACCGUUGCUCUCACCACUAAGCCACAUGCCCAUUCGUGUUUAGUCUUACUCAUUCUGGCAUCAAACAUCGUCGAGUUCCUUGUGAGCUUUUAUGUUUCUUGGUAAUUUCCCUUGUUCUACCCUUUUAUUUAUCUGAUGGAUUGUUCUUUUGCUUAUCCAGUCGAAAUACAGCGCAAAAACAAUGGGAUGAAACUAUUGUUCUUUUAUUAGGUGGUAUAGCACGGCUUUUACGAUCAUUUUUCCCCCUCCUCCAGCAAUUGAGCAAAUUUUCUUCCGGUCAGUUUUCUGCAGUGGCCAUUAUGCUUAUGUUGCAUACCAGUUAGUAAAUUACCAGUAACUGUUAUUGACAUACUGUGCUUAAAAUUGUGCAGGUUGGGCAAUUUUGCUUGCGUUUCUAAAAAAUAGCAUCUUAAAUGGUAGCAAGGAGGUAGCUCUUGCAGCUAUUAAUUGUUUGCAGACAUUUGUUAGUUCAAACUGUCCGAAGGUUCUCUCUCUCUCUCUCUCUCUCUCUCUCUCUCAGAUAGCUUAGUACAGUUUGUAAGCUAAAUUGAAUUGUUGGGCUUUCAUUAUUUGCCUGUUCAAAUUAUUUGUGAUGGUGAAAGCUUAAUGUUGUAUUUUUCUUUAUGGGAACAACCGAGUGUGCUACCUACUGUUCUCAUGAUUUGUCACUGUUAUGCCAUGACCUCGCCUUUGCUACCCCCUUACCCCCUCUAAAUUUAUACAGAGUUUUAAACAUGUCCUCGCAUUUGUUAUCUCCUUACCCCCUAUAAAUUUAUAGUUCUAUACAUGGUAUCGUAUAUGUCAUCUCAUGAUAUAAUAGGAAAUAUAGCUGUCAAAUUAAUGAAAGCACUAACAAAAGAUGAUUCGAGUCUGUAUUGUCGAUAAUAAUUUUGUUCAUGAAGCAAAUAAAUCUGUUAUUUCUGGACCAGUGACUGGAUAAAUGGAGUAAUUGACAUUUUAGAUAGGUUAUGUAAUUGUGGACGUGUUUGCCAUCUUGGCAAUGGAAGCUGUGAGCGGAAUGUAAUCACCUGAUGACUGCUAUUACGACUUAUGACUGCACCGGCUGUUUAUGUUUUUUGUUGCAUCUGAAAGAAACAAAUCAGAUGUUUUCACAGCUAUGCGGGGGCAGUGUAACUUUAAGGAGCCUACUUGUUCUUCAAAGAUUUAAUAUUUUCUCCGCACUUCCCUAUUAAAGGACUUGAUUUACACUUUCACAGUGGUAUAAAUGGCAUGUCUUGGACUUGUCACCUUCUUUUAUUUUUUCUGCUAAAAACAAGAGUACAUGUUUUUUAAAUCAUCACAUAUACAUGUUUGAUGUAUAAUUAAUAAAAAUUUCAGGGCAAUCUAGAAUCCUCCUUUGUCAAAUCCGUUCUUGAUAUUUACGAACUUGUUCUUCAAACUUCACCAAACUAUAAGAGUGACUCGGCUGAUAAGGUGAAGCAAGAGGUCCUUCGUGGUCUUGGUAAAUUUCUGGACUUCGUAGUUUGUGUUGAUAAGUUCCAUGUGUUGUAAUGAGCUACUAAUCAUGUUGCAUUUAUGCAGGAGAUCUUUACGUUCAAGCGCAAUCUCUAUUUAAUGAUGACAUGUAUCUAAGGCUCAUGGCUGUUAUGCAUCUAAUGAUUAAGAGUUCCAUGAAUUCUUCAGAUUAUGACAGUGAAUUGGUAUGCUCGUGAACUCCAAUUUUAUUAGUAUUGUUUGCUACACUGUGGAGUUCAACGUAGAAUUCUGGAAAUGUCCUGUGUAAACUGUUAAGUAUGUGGAUAUUUUCCCUGGUUAGCCAUGCACGGUGGGGAGCGGGUUAUGUUUGCGUUUUUAGAAAGGUAAUGUGGGCAUGAUGAGUAGGACUUACACAACCAUUCGGAACUGGCUGUUUCCCACUGUUUGAGGUCCAACCAGCCUGGGAUUGGAAUGUUUAGUGGUGUGUUACUGCCGUCUGCAAGUUGCUCGGCUUACAACCAUUUUUGACCAGUUCCAAAUGUUUUGACUGGGAACAACUAGUUUAAUAUUCCCUUUCCGAAACUAACAGUGGCCCACAACAAACCUUUCUCUUGUUUUUAUACCCUGGGUAGGAUAAUACACCAUGAAAGAAGCUUUAGUCUCUGUUUUGUCUUUUAGAUAGUCCCAGAAGGUGCCUUUUAUUCCAUGGUUCUUUAAUUUUACUCUUCUCAUGCUUGACAGAAAUACAUGCUGUUCUCUUACAAAAAAAAUCUGUGGCACUUAUUUUGUGACAACCACAAAAGGAGCCUUUAAUCUUCAUUUCCCUCAUAUGUACUCUUGGAAUCAUUUUUUCAAUUCCAUGUUCCUACCUUGACAACUUCCAUGCUGUAGAACAGAAUGUAUUGAACUUCAUAACUCACUUAGCCUUUUAUGCUUUAGGGUAGCAUCCCUGCUGUGCAGCGUGGUAUCUUAGAAAUUAUUCCUAUGCUACGCCCAACAACCAUGUUAUCAUCAAUGUGGUCGCCUCUCCUGCUUGAGCUGCUAUGCUAUCUUAACGGAGAAGAAAGCCCCCUGCACAGGAAUAGUAAAGAAAUACGUGAACAGAAUUCUGAUGCACUGGCCAAUGGCACAAAGCGUGCUUCUGGUAAGACAUGUUAUCAUAUCGUACAUACAUGUUUGUGUAAUUUAAGAAAUAUGAUAUCUUGAGCAAUUUGUGUGUAAUUUAUCAUGGCUACAGUUGAACAAGGCCAUAUCAAUGGCACUGGCACAAAAGGGGAUACUGUGGUGGGCUGUGGCUGGGGCAUUCUAUUUAUAGAAAAGCUUGUGCCAAUCAUGGUCAACCUUUUCCUGGAGGCUCCACCAAAUGAAAGGUGUAGUGCCUCACCACAGGUUAUUCAAGGUCUUGGAAGGUAAAUUGCCUUAGCUUUACAGCCUUACAGUCCCUAGCAAAGCUUUGGGGGUAAUAGUUAUGUUGUAAACCUGUGCAUAUGGAGUUCCUUAGCUUUUCAUGUGGUAAACAUAACUUGUGUUGGUUGUAGUUAUAAAGAUACAAUGCAAAAGUAAGAAUAUUUUCCCCAGUGAAGAUCAUGUGCUUACUGCAGAGUGUUCAUACUAAAUACAAAGUCAUGGAAGAUUAAUUUGGAACCAUCUAGAUAAUGAGCCUAUGAAAUUGGAUUGUGAAGCAGCACCGGGUUGUCGAGGAGCAACUUCAACAUGUUGUGCUAGAUGUUGCUCGAGGCAGAGAUAGGCUCAUAUGGCAGCAGGAAUUCAAUCCAGAAACUCCUAGAACGCAAAAUCUAUGCCAAGAUCUUAGAUAAGAACGCCAAGUUCUGUUAGUAGUGGGUACAUAGUCUGAGUUAUAAAACUAGAGGCAAGGACCUCUAUUUAUAGGCUUUGAAGCCUUCACAUCUCAGAUUCUACUCAUCACUAGAAGACUCUAGAAAACAUUACUUAAAGGACAUGUCAGCUUCUACCCAUAGAUAGAAGACUCUAGAGAAGAUUACUUAAAGGUUAAGAAAAUGAAUACAAUAACAUAUGACUUGAGGAUCGAUUUAGAAAUCAAAAUUGUCUUUUUUUUUUCUUUACCUCUCUCCUACUGUCCCUCAUCAGAUUGUUUAUUUACUCCUUACUUACUCUGGAAAUUGUUAACUGAAGCAGCACAAAGUUUGUGGAGGAGCAACUCCACCUUGCUGCUACAAUGUGUACAGCACAAGUGUUGAAGGAACAGCUUCAACGUGGUGCGCUAGAUAUCGCUCUAGAGGCGAAUGUAGGUUGAUAGGGCAGCAAGAGUAAAAUCCAGAACUCCUAGGGCACAAGAUCUACUCCAAGAUCUUAGAUAAGAACAACAAGUUCUAUUAUAGGUAGGGGUACAUAGUCUGCCUCCAAAGUAGAGGCGAGGACCUCUAUUUAUAGGGCUUUGGGAAGCC
rnacentral:lncRNA from 1 species